GUUGUAAUUUGAAGAAGGUAUCUUUGGGUCUGGCUCUUGUCUAUGUUUCUUGGAACAGAACGUCACAGAGGGUGAGAAUCCCGUGCGAUGAGAUGAUCCAGGCCUAUGUAAAGUUCCUUCGAAGAGUCGAGUUGUUUGGGAAUGCAGCUCUAAGUGGGUGGUAAAUUCCAUCUAAAGCUAAAUAUUGGCGAGAGACCGAUAGCGAACAAGUACAGUGAUGGAAAGAUGAAAAGAACUUUGAAAAGAGAGUGAAAAAGUACGUGAAAUUGUUGAAAGGGAAGGGCUUGAGAUCAGACUUGGUAUUUUGUAUGUUACUUCUUCGGGGGUGGCCUCUACAGUUUAUCGGGCCAGCAUCAGUUUGGGCGGUAGGAGAAUUGCGUUGGAAUGUGGCACGGCUUCGGUUGUGUGUUAUAGCCUUUGUCGAUACUGCCAGCCUAGACUGAGGACUGCGGUUUAUACCUAGGAUGUUGGCAUAAUGAUCUUAAGUCGCCCGUCUUGAAACACGGACCAAGGAGUCUAACGUCUAUGCGAGUGUUUGGGUGUAAAACCCGUACGCGUAAUGAAAGUGAACGUAGGUGGGGGCCCGUAUGGGUGCACCAUCGACCGAUCCUGAUGUCUUCGGAUGGAUUUGAGUAAGAGCAUAGCUGUUGGGACCCGAAAGAUGGUGAACUAUGCCUGAAUAGGGUGAAGCCAGAGGAAACUCUGGUGGAGGCUCGUAGCGGUUCUGACGUGCAAAUCGAUCGUCGAAUUUGGGUAUAG
rnacentral:rRNA from 1 species